UUGCUCACUUCAGCAGCACAUGUACUAAAAUUGGAAUGAUACAGAGAAAUUUGGCAUAGCCCCUGCAUGAGGAUGACAUGCAAAUUUAUGAGGCAUUUAAUUUAAAA
ensembl:snRNA U6 U6 spliceosomal RNA